UUAUUUAAACCAUGGUGGCUUUGGGA
rnacentral:piRNA from 1 species